rnacentral:rRNA from 1 species
UACGUAGGGGGCAAGCGUUGUCCGGAAUUAUUGGGCGUAAAGAGCGUGUAGGCGGUCCAGUAAGUCAGCUGUGAAAGUCAAGGGCUCAACCCUUGAAUGCCGGUUGAUACUGUCGGGCUAGAGUCCGGAAGAGGCGAGUGGAAUUCCCGGUGUAGCGGUGAAAUGCGCAGAUAUCGGGAGGAACACCAAUGGCGAAGGCAGCUCGCUGGGACGGUACUGACGCUGAGACGCGAAAGCGUGGGGAGCAAACAGG